CUUGCCGAGCCGCUGCCUGCUGCAUCGCAUUAGGCGAGCUGGAGCCGAGCUCGCGGGGGGGCUCUUUGUCAGCUGCAGCCUGUGGAUUUCCCGGGCGGGAGAACAGAGUUUUUCCUUCUUGCCCCAAAGGCGCAACCUGCCCUCCCCGCUGUGGCAGCGGUGAUUUUCAUCCUUUUUUUUCUUAAUUUCUUCCUUCCUUUCUUCCUUUUCUUUCUCUCUUUCUUUUUCUUUAUUUUCUUCUUCUUCUUUUUUUUUUUUUUUUUCGGGGGGAGAGUUGAUUUUAUAAGAAUAUCAUCUGCUUGGCGCGCUGUGGAUCUGCUGUCCCGGGCUCGGCAGCUCACCCCGAGCACGAUGAGGGCUGCUUUCCAGAAUUGCAUAACACACACCGUUCCCUGUGUGCACAAACUCCCUGACAUCCCCUGAUCCCGGUGACUUCCUUUCUAAAUCCAGACCGGGGCUCCAGCCGCCGCUGUGCUGCCUUUACAGGGGAUGGGACCUGGGCUGCAGGUUUCGGCUCUCCCAGGCUCUUCCAGCCGUUGUUUUUUAAGGCACUAAACUUUCUUCUUUUUUGGUGUAAAGACUGGCAGUUCUCCCUCCCUCUCCGAUAAACAGUUUUCCCCUUUCUUCCCCACCCUGUGCUCAUAGACACGUGUCUGUAGCGCAGGUUGUGGAGAGGGGAUUGACUGCCGAGCUGUUUGUUUCCCUUCUCAGGUCUCUUUGUGUGUUUAUUUGUCAGUUAACCCAGGAGGUCCUUUCCUCAGGUUGCAUUUUGCUCCAGACCUUUCUGACUCCUGCUCGGAUCUUGCACAUUUUGCUCUGGUGGCCAUUCUCUCUCCUUGCUCCCUCCCUGUCGUGAGCAGCCAAGCUCUGCUCUGAUGGCUCUGGGCAUCUGCGAGGGAUGCUCAUGGCCAUGCAUCUUGCUGGGACCAGGUGCUGGGAUGGGGGUUGCUGUGGAGGGAGUACUGCCCAUGCAUGGGUUGUGCUUUGGCAGUGAGAGACCCAUACCCACCAGACUUCUUUGCAGCAACCCUUUUGGAUAACUUAAUCCGAACCCACUGUCAAAACAGGCCAAGCUGUGAGCUUUGUGCUGUCUUUGGUCUGAUUAACCCUGUGUGGAUCUGCUCCAGCUGAGCCACUGAGUCCCCAGUGCAGAAUGUGCCCCCGCCUCCUGUGCUGGGGAGGAAGGCGCCUCGGUGCCGCGGAGCUGCAGAGCUCGUGGUGCAUGUAUGGUUACAGAUAACAGUGGUGGGGCUCAGCUUUUAGAAAUAGUUCUGCAAAACGGGGAGCUCUGAGGGUGCUACCAUCCUUUUCCCCCCUCCAAUCCUGCGUGGAGCCGGAGGAGCACAUCCUGCUUCUGCUGGGGAGCUUGGCUCCGUCGUUUAUGAUUGCAGCCGCUGCCAUUAUGCCUGACAGACGGGAGUUGCUGAGUAAUGUGCUGUUUGUGUGUAAAUAACUGAGCGCUCACCAUCGCGCUCUCUGCCGUGGCUCUGCAGCGAGCUGCCUCAGCACCUCUGCUUGUGCAGACCCCAGUGAGCAUCCUCCAUUCCUUCUCCCCAUGCCCUGCACAUCGCUCCCAAAGUGCCAGUCUGCUGCCAUGGGUCAGGGGGAGGCCGUGCUCCUACCUGGGUGCAAACUAGGGCCAGAAAGGGCUCUGUGUAUGAGUGCAUGUGUGUGUGUCUCCAUGUGCCUUGGGUACAGGGAUGCUGGCCUAGAGUUUGCAGAAGUGUGUUUUGCUAUAAAGUAACUCACGGACAACUAGGAAAGCAGCUCUGUUUCACUGUGCUGGUUUGUUACAUGUUUUUUCCCAACCUAGAUACUCAGUCCCGAGUCCCCCUUAAUUUCGUCCCAUUACCACUGAAGAUGCUGAAUUAUUCCUUCCUGUAUCAUUUUCAUCCCAUUUGCAGAUUAGCAUCCGACUCCCACUGUCAGUGCUUGCUCAGCUCAGCUAGACUGAUCACAGCUCCUUUAAUCUCCCCUUGUAAAUCAAUCCCUUCUGCCUCCCCAUCAUUUUUGUCGCUCGUUUUUCUGAAAUCCCUCCAAUUUGUCCAUUUUGUGCUGGUGACGUAUGCCUGGCCCUAAACAUGAUGUAUACCAGGCAUGGCAGCAUGAGGGAAGGACACCUCCUCCCCUCCCACCCGCUGGGGCAUGUGAUGCUUUGUCAGCAUUGAACUGAGUUACUUCCCCAUUAUUCUAAGCUAUAGUUCCUGCUCGGUGUUGCAGAAGGAAGCAGCAUACCCAGGUCAGUGCCCUGGGGGGAAUCCCUCCAAAUUUUGGUGGUGGGUUGGCAAGCUGGGUUUGUAUGCUGCUAUUGCACACUGGUGCUCCAGGUGCUGUGCCGGGGGCAUCAGGAGAACACUGUGCCUCUUCCUGAAAAAGCUGAUGGUCAAACAAGGAAUCUGAGCAUGAAACCCCUGCGGAGCCCAUGGGCUGAUGUUGGUGGCAUAUCCUCGGUCCCUUGCCCUUAGUCUCUGUCUGUGGUCCCUUGUCCUACUGAGCGGAGGACGCGUCCAUCUGGCUGCGCGCACUGUGCUGCUCGUGGCCUUGGGAGCAGCAGGAGUGGAGAUGGGAGCACUGAGCUGGAAGCAUCAUGGAAGUGAGCAGGUUGUGGACUUGAACAGAGGGUCUCUGGGGAGUUAGGGAAAUCCAAGAAACACCUAGCAUGGUUUUAAUACCUCCCAGAGGCUUUGUCCAGACAGAAUCGGGUAAGGCUGGGAAGAUGGACUGCACUUUGGUUUCAUUUUCUGCUGGAUGUUAAAUCCACGUGAGAUACCUCCUCAGGGUCGUGUUUUCCCAAAGCAGCAGAAACUUUAGAGUCAGCUGUGAUGGGCAAUCCCGAUCGAUCUGGAACAUGUGUAUAUUUAUGUAUUAGAUUUGUGUCCACAUAUAUCUGGGUAAGGUUUCAAAGAAUGUGUUUUUUAAGGUGUGUUUAUUCAUUUCGGCAUUAAUUCAACUGUCAUAUUGCCUUUCGUCCUUAAAGUCUAUUAUUCCAGCUGUGAAUGCAUGUAUAUGUAUGAAAGCACUGUAUACUGCAGUCCUUCUCUUGUUAUAACAAACCUUGUGAAAAAGCAAAUAAAGAGACAUUGCUCUCA